rnacentral:rRNA from 1 species
AGAGUUGUAUCCUGGCUCAGGAUGAACGCUGGCGAGAUGCUUUACACAUGCAAGUCGUACGAGAGUUUUUAACUCAAGUGGCGGACGGGUGAGUAACACGUAAGAAUUUACCUUUAGGAGGGGGAUAACAACUGGAAACGGUUGCUAAUACCCCAUAUGCUUUUGAGUGAAAUGGAUUUUUCCGCCUAGAGAGAAGCUUGCGGCUGAUUAGCUUGUUGGUAAGGUAAUGGCUUACCAAGGCGACGAUCAGUAUCUGGUUUGAGAGGAUGAUCAGACACACUGGAACUGAGACACGGUCCAGACUCCUACGGGAGGCAGCAGUGGGGAAUUUUCCGCAAUGGGCGAAAGCCUGACGGAGCAAUCUCGCGUGAGGGAUGACGGCCUAUGGGUUGUAAACCUCUUUUUUCAGGGAGGAAUCAAUGACGUGUACCUGAAGAAUAAGCAUCGGCUAACUCCGUGCCAGCAGCCGCGGUAAGACGGAGGAUGCAAGUGUUAUCCGGAAUCACUGGGCGUAAAGCGUCUGUAGGUGGUUUAAUAAGUCAACUGUUAAAUCUUGAAGCUCAACUUCAAAAUCGCAGUCGAAACUAUUAGACUAGAGUAUAGUAGGGGUAAAGGGAAUUUCCAGUGGAGCGGUGAAAUGCGUAGAGAUUGGAAAGAACACCGAUGGCGAAGGCACUUUACUGGGCUAUUACUAACACUGAGAGACGAAAGCUAGGGUAGCAAAUGGGAUUAGAUACCCCAGUAGUCCUAGCCGUAAACAAUGGAUACUAGAUGUUGAACAGAUCGACCUGUGCAGUAUUAAAGCUAACGC